UACGUAGGGUGCAAGCGUUGUCCGGAAUUAUUGGGCGUAAAGAGCUCGUAGGCGGUCUGUUGCGUCGGCUGUGAAAACCCGGGGCUCAACCCCGGGCCUGCAGCCGAUACGGGCAGACUAGAGUUCGGCAGGGGAGACUGGAAUUCCUGGCGUAGCGGUGAAAUGCGCAGAUAUCAGGAGGAACACCGGUGGCGAAGGCGGGUCUCUGGGCCGAUACUGACGCUGAGGAGCGAAAGCGUGGGGAGCGAACAGG
rnacentral:rRNA from 1 species